CUCCACCUUUUAUUAUUUUCCUUCCAAAUCUUCUCUCUCAUUUUCUUAUAUAGAUGUGCAUGCUCACAAAUACUUUCUCUUGGGUGAAUCAGUGUGGGUUUAAAAUUUUAAUACUUGAUUUAGCUUCAAAGAGCAUCAUUAUACAAAAUUACUUAUGAUUUAUGUUUAUUGUCUUUGUUCUAGUACAUUUGCAAAUGUUAUGUAAAAUAGGCUAUGUUCAAACUGCAGGCAAUCUGUUUUUAAUGACAGUCUCAUUGUGAUAAUUCAAUCUUUUUAUUUUUUUUCCUGAAAUCUGUCAUAUGCGGUACUAAAUCAGAUACAUAUCUAGUGUGUCGUGGCAAGAAUGGUCAGAAACAUGGCGAAAAGGUGUUAGAAAGACAAAUAGUCUUACGGGUAUGAUCAUAAGUCAUUUAUUGAUGGGCAGACAUGAAACAGAAAGCAAUCACGAAGUCUGUUAGAUGUGGGCCCCCGACUGAGGGCGGAAGAGAACUGUUAUACCUUCAGCUAUCAUUAUGUGAUAAUGAACAACCAAUCAGAAUCUGCCUCGUUCUGGUACAUGAAGUAGGUCAGCUUGAAGAUGACGUUCAGACGAUAUCAUGAGAUAUGAACAAUGGUCAGUGUCAAGGUGAUACA